rnacentral:rRNA from 1 species
UAGGCGCACGGGUGAGUAACACGUGAAUAAUCUACCCUCGAGUGGGGAAUAACCUAGAGAAAUCUGGGCUAAUACCGCAUAACACUUACGAGUCAAAGCAGCAAUGCGCUUGGGGAGGAGUUCGCGGCCGAUUAGCUAGUUGGUGGGGUAAUGGCCCACCAAGGCGAUGAUCGGUAUCCGGCCUGAGAGGGCGCACGGACACACUGGAACUGAAACACGGUCCAG